GUAAAUUGUUACGUCCCUCUGCAGCCUCUAAUCUGCUCAGUGUGUUCAGCUGGUGCUAAUUGGCCACACCUAGUCAGGUGUGGAUAAAGGCAUACCUGAGGCAAGCUUCCCAGAGAGCUCACUUGUCUUUGCCUUGGUGGCACCAGCCAUUUUAGCCAACCUGAUAAACAUCUUCAUACAUGGAUAUCGCCCUCAGGAGGAUUACAGCUGGCAGCUUACCAACUGUAGUGUGCACAGAUGGACCAGCAAGACCCAGAGAGAAAAAUACACCUUUCAAGCCGAGCUGAUGCCACUUGGCAGUUUGCAGCUGGGUCCAAGUCUGUUUGUGCUACGAAGCGUGCAGAAAAUGAAGCUCUGGCACUCUGACUCUGCAGGAUUUUAAAAUGCGAAGCUGGCGGGAAAUGGAUGGAAAGGAAGAUGCCGCUGGCUGUUUGUUUUUGUUUAAUAUGAUGAAAUCAGCCUCCAGAUGGGAUCCUAGAAUGAUUACCAUAUGGGCCCACAGUGAUUUAUGAGACUCGUUGGCGCUGAAUGCCUCGGUAGCUCAGAUUCCACCUGCCAUCAACACAGACUGAUCACUCUGUCAUAUGAAGGAGGCAGUGAUGUGUACAUUUAUUUGAGAUGUCAAAGAGUGCGUUAAAGUGAAAUAAACCUAUUUUAUCUACA
ensembl:lncRNA